rnacentral:rRNA from 1 species
CCUACGGGCGGCAGCAGUGGGGAAUAUUGCACAAUGGGGGAAACCCUGAUGCAGCGACGCCGCGUGAGUGAAGAAGUAAUUCGUUAUGUAAAGCUCUAUCAGCAGGGAAGAAAAUGACGGUACCUGCGUAAGACGCCCCGGCUAACUACGUGCCAGCAGCCGCGGUAAUACGUAGGGGGCAAGCGUUAUCCGGAUUUACUGGGUGUAAAGGGAGCGUAGACGGCAGAGCAAGUCUGAAGUGAAAGGCGAGGGCUCAACCCCCGGACUGCACUGGAAACUGUAAGGCUGGAGUGCAGGAGAGGUAGGUGGAAUUCCUGGUGUAGGGGUAAAAUGCGUAGAUAUUAGGAGGAAUACCAGUGGCGAAGGCGACUUACUGGACUGUAACUGACGUUGAGGCUCGAAAGCGUGGGGAGCAAACAGGAUUAGAUACCCGUGUAGUC